UGCCUGCAAUCCCAGGCACUCGGCAGGCUGAGGCAGGAGAAUCAGGCAGGGAGGUUGCAGUGAGUCGAGAUGGCGGCAGUACAGUCCAGUCUCGGCUCGGCAUCAGAGGGAGACCGUGGAGGGAGAGAGAGGAGGGAGGAGGGAGUAGGGAGUAGGGAGAGCUAUAAAUUUUAAAAAUAUUUAUUUACUUAAUUAUCACAUUAACCUACUUAUCCCCAUUUUAGAUAUAAGUAAACUGAGGCACAGAGUUAGAUAACUUGUUAAGGUCAACAGCUGCUAAAUAGCAAAGCUAGGAUGCAAAACCACAGAGACUCUGGUGUCUAAAGUGCUCUAAAGCACUGCGCUGUUACUCAUUCAUUCAUUCGUUUUUACAUUUUCAGUCCCAUACUCACAUAUCCAAACACCUCUCUGAAAUCUCUCCUUGGGUGCUUCAUAGAAACCUCAAACUUAACGUGUCCAAAAAUGAACUUCUGAUCUCUGCACCCCAAACCUGUUUAUUUUUCCACAUAUCAAUAAGUGGCACUAUCGUUUAUCUAAUUGUGUGAGACAAAAAUAAAAAACUAAACAAUUAUAGUUAAUAAUAGAAAAUGAGGGACAUGCUGCUAUUUUAGAUAUUUAUAAUCUCUAAUCAAGGAAAUAACAGUUUUAAAGUAUCUUUUCUAAGCAAAUGUAUUACUUGAAUACUGUUAUUCUAUGUAUAAAGUCAUCUUUAAUUAUCUUCCUCUACUAUAAAUGAUUUAUUUCAGUGUUAGUAAAAUUUUAUGUUUUGUUUGCUUAUCUAGUAUUGCCAUCAUUACUGCAAUUUUAAAAUCUUUCCUUAGAGAUAAGCUGCUUUGACAUCUACCAAAGUAUUUAUUUAGUACAGUGUUUUUUAAAAUUGGUUCCAUUGUUUGACAGGUUCCAACAUUUCUAAGCAUGCUAUUGUGUUAGCAACGGCCUAUAAAAAUAAACCUAACCCAAGCGGUUUGGACGAGAGGAUGUUCCUUAGGAAUAUUUGCUUUGGAGAUGUUUGCUAUUUCCAGGGAUAUAUCUAUGUUGUCACUGUUUAAAUUUCGUAUUCCUUACCAUACGUUUUAAAUUUUUAUGUCUUUUAAGUGAAACCCAUCCCCACAGCCAGUAUAAUUAAUUCUGAGGUAUAUAUGUAGCAAAAGUAAUUGGUUAUGCUGUAAACCCUUUUGUUUAGUAAACUGUGUUUUAAUUUUUGAUGCUGUAUUUUAGGAACUGAGGUAGUAUGGUGUAGAAGUCCAGUGCAAAAGGAUUGAAGAUUAUAACUAAUUUAAUUUUGCAUUUUUUUCUCUAAAAUAGGAAAUGUUUAUCUUUUGGACAAGUGCAUAGUCUAAUUAUACAUGCAAUUAAGUAAUUUCACCUAUAAACCAGAUGGUAGAAGCUUUUACUCCAUCUGUGACUAGAUUCAGGAAUAUCUGUGUAUAUUUUUCAGUUAUAAAUGGAUAUAGUAGUCAAAGUAAUUUCCUUGCUUAUUGAAUUAGCAAGGAUAAACUUUCAUCCAAGACUCAACAUUUCAGUUGCGUUUUAAUCCCCUCCUUACUCUGUGCUAGGAACUCUGCUGAACUUUAGGAAUUUGGAAAACAAGAAAAACAAGAUCAGUUACUCUUGCCUAGGACUUAAUAAAAAUUUUUCACGAAUGCAGCUAACUUUCGUACAAUGUGAAAAAGGCUCUGAUGGGGAUAGCUUCAUUGUUAUAUGGAGCUUAUUUUCUGGGAAAAUUUUACCUGAAUUAUGACUUAACAAAUAAAUAAGGACUUUGUCCUGUUAAUAAAUGCUGUUGAGGCAGGGCGCGGUGGCUCAUGCCUGUAAUCCCAGCACUUUGGGAGGCCAAGGUGGGUGGAUCACGAGGUCAGGAGAUCAAGACCAUCCUGGCUAACAUGGUGAAACCCCAUCUCUACUAAAAAUACAAAAAAUUAGCCUGGCAUGGUGGCACGUGCCUGUAGUCCCAGCUACUCGGGAGGCUGAGGCAGGAGAAUCACUUAAACCCGGGAGGCAGAGGUUGCAGUGAGCUAAGGUUGCGCCACUGCGCUCUAGCUUAAGUGACAGAGUAAGACUCCAUCUCAAAAAAAUAAAAAUAAAUAAAUAAAUAAUACAUGCUGUUUAAAUCUUUCUUGUUAAUGAUUGUUUAUAUUUUGAUAGAUUCAGCAGAUCUAAAGAGGGUACCAUUGUGGGGGAAAAAGGAAUGGAUGUCAAGGAACCGAUUAAUGGAGUUAACAAGAAAGGAAAAUUCUGUUAGAGAAUAAGCCCAGCACCAAUACGUUACGUCAGUGAUGGUCUUUACAUGUCACCUGCAAAAGGAAUUGCUGGUCAUGCAUUUGACUUUUCAGCUAAUCUUGCUUGCAUGCGUUGACAUAGUUUUGGCAGAACUUAUAGUGCCUCACUGUAGUAGUUUAUUCACUAUGACCAUGUCAUCCCUUCUUUUAGGAAGAUAGCAGCUUAUGUAAUAGGUGUAAUCCCACUUUUAUAGAUGAUGAAGCUCCACAGGUUCUGGGGCUAUUAAAGUUACCAGCUGGUAAGUGAUAUGCUGGAACUCAAGAUUCCAAAUUUCAAUAAAACAGUAUUUAUUUUUCUUGCUGGCUAAAGUUUUAGCAAUGAGCCUCUUGCUCUUCCUGGAAGCUUAUGAGUUAUCUUGAAAUAAUCAUUUUAGAGUUCUUAAAGUCUUUUUGACCUUAAGCCUCUGCUUAGUACUCCUUGUAGGCAAAGACUAUCCAGAGUUCAGCAGUGGGCUGGGCAUAGAGGUCUUAGUUGAAUAAAUGCACUCUUCUCAGGGUUGUAGAGACAUUUAAAAGACAAAAAUAAACCAUAUCACAGAAUGGUGGUUGAUUUGUUGGUAUUUUAGGCCUCUAAUUUUUUUUAGCACAGUGAAUCUUAGUUGUUCCUUGGCAGCAGUUGGGUCUACUGAUAAACAUGUUGCUAAUGAAAUAAACAUUUUUUAAAAUCCUACUUUGGAUAUUUCAUGUCUUUUAAAUGACUACCAACUUCAUUUAUAACCCUGUUCACCUCUCUAACAAACUCUGUAGGUAAAGAAAAAAUCAUUUGAAAGACAAUGUAGUUUUCACAAGUUUCUCAACACUGUGGGAGAAUUAACUCAGUUUCUUCUAUCACAUAUUAAUGAGAGAGGUUCUCUUUCACUAUAAAGGACAGAAUAGUAAAACAAUUGGAUGAAUUUUGGACCAAGAUAUUUUAGGAACCAAUAAAAACUGGCUACUUUUUCCAAAGCACAGUAGCCAAAUGGUGGAACACUGGAUUAGGAGCCGGGAAAUAAUUUCAGGUCUCCACUGUGCCUUAUAUUGUGACCUUAGGCCUCCAUUUCUAAGAGGGAGAAGCCUGGUUCUGUUAUCUCAUAAAUCCAGAAAGCUGAUAGUGUCUGUCUUACUUUUCCAGUUUUAUUGGACAUUCACCAUAGAUGCCAUUUAUGAAGCCCUAUAUGUUAUUAGAAAUUAAUGUGAACAAAUUUCGCAACCCAACCCAAAGUGAUUUCAUAUGUAUAGCACUUUCAGUUUAAGUCUGGAGUGUAUUAUAUUAUUCAUUUAAAAAGAAACACAUGGCCAGGCAUGAUGGCUGACACUUGUAAUCCCACCUCCUUGGGAGGCUGAGGUCAGAGAAUCACUUGAGGCCAGGAGAUUGAGACCAGCCUGGGCAACAUAGUGAGACCCCAUGUCUACCAAAAUAAAUAUUUUUUUAAGUAGCCAAGUACAGUGAUGCAUGCCUGUAGUUCCAGCUACUCAGGAAGCUGAGGCAGGAGAAUCACUUGAGCUCAGGAGUGUGAGACUGCAGUGAGCUAUCAUAGUGUCACUCUAUCCUGGUGUCAGAGUGAGACCUCGACUUUAAUUUUGUUUAUUUCAUUAUUUAUUUAUUGAGACAAGAUUUCACUCUUUGACCCAGGCUGGAGUACGGUGUACAAUCUCUGUUCACGGCAACCUUCACCUCCCAGGCUCAAGCGAUUCUCACACCUCAGCCACCCAAAUAGGGACCACGGCCACGUGCACCACACCUGGCUAAUUUUUGUAUUUUUUGUAAAGACAGGGUCUCACUAUAUUGCCUAGGCUGGUCUCAAACUCCUAGCUCAAGCAGUCCACCUGCCUCGGCCUCCCAAAGUGCCGGGAUUAUAGACUUGAGCCACCACAUCCAGCCUCAACUUUAAAAAUAAAAAGAACACAUGAAGAUUGGGAGACUAUGCAUUUUCAUGUAUAGCCUAAAUUUAGCUAGUUUAGUGAUAAGUAUGCUCUGAAAUUAAACUGAUUACUGUAUGAUAUCAUGGCCUGUAAAGAACUUAAAGAAUACUUAAAUUAUCUAUUUUUAAAUGAAAACUUCAAAAGCCAGAAUUUAUUUUUUAAGUUGUGUAUCAUCAUCUUGUCUGCUUUAAUUAUUUUUAAAGUGUCAACAUAAAAACUUGGACAUACAAAAUGCAUGUAUUUAGAAAUAAAAUGAUGAAUGUAAC
rnacentral:lncRNA from 1 species